CUUCAGGCACAGCCAAGUUGCACUCCAUCUCAACAUAAAUCUUAUAUUCAGGCUGUGCACUGGGAAAACAUUCUUACCAUCCUCUCAAACUCAUAUUUAACCUUGUAGGUGAGGAUAGAUCUAACAAGAGCCACUCAGCUGGGGAACUCCCAAAAGCAAAGCUGCCUGGGGUGGAGCUGAGCAGGUGGCUGCUGCUCUGUGGCUUGGGUUCUCCUCCAAGCACAGAUCAGACACGGAGUCCAGGUUCAGAGAGAAUUUCUGCCUGCACUUGAACUAUGAGUUUGGCAACAGAAGUGUUGGUUCUAUUAACUUUGGGUAUUAUGGGUGAUGCCAAGACCACUCAGCCAAGUUCACUGGAGGUUACUGAAGAAGCACCUGUCCACUUGCCUUGCAACCACUCCACGAUCAGUGGAAAUGAGUACAUCUGGUGGUACCGACAGAUUCCUCUCCAGAGUCCAGAAUAUGUGAUUCAUGGCCUGAAAAACAAUGUGACCAACAGCAUGGCCUCUCUGACCAUCACAGCAGAUAGGAAGUUCAGUACCUUGAUCCUGCUCCAUGUCACCCUGAGAGAUGCUGCUGUGUACUACUGCAUGCUGAGAGACACACACUGUGGCAGGUGGGACUGCACUUUGUACAAUAUCUCCCUAGUGGGGAGGGAAAGCUGCAGCUGCCUUUGA